rnacentral:rRNA from 1 species
GCAGUAAGGAAUAUUGGUCAAUGGGCGCAAGCCUGAACCAGCCAUGCCGCGUGCAGGAAGACGGCCCUACGGGUUGUAAACUGCUUUUGUACCGGAAUAAACCUUGAUAUGUAUAUCGAGCUGAAUGUACGGUAAGAAUAAGGAUCGGCUAACUCCGUGCCAGCAGCCGCGGUAAUACGGAGGAUCCAAGCGUUAUCCGGAUUUAUUGGGUUUAAAGGGUGCGUAGGUGGCCUAUUAAGUCAGGGGUGAAAGACGGUAGCUUAACUAUCGCAGUGCCUUUGAUACUGAUGGGCUUGAAUACAGUUGAAGUGGGCGGAAUGUGACAAGUAGCGGUGAAAUGCAUAGAUAUGUCACAGAACACCGAUUGCGAAGGCAGCUCACUAAAGUGUGAUUGACACUGAGGCACGAAAGCGUGGGGAUCAAACAGGAUUAGA